CAGUGGCUCAACCNUUGUAGGCUUUGGAAACUGUUUAACUNGAGUGCAGAAGGGGAGAGUGGAAUUCCAUGUGCAGCGGUGAAAUGCGUAGAUAUAUGGAGGAACACCGGUGGCGAAAGCGGCUCUCUGGUCUGUAACUGACGCUGAGGCUCGAAAGCGUGGGGAGCGAACAGGAUUAGAUACCCUGGUAGUCCACGCCGUAAACGAUGAGUGCUAGGUGUUAGGUCCUUUCCGGGACUUAGAGCCGCAGCUAACGCAUUAAGCACUCCGCCUGGGGAGUACGACCGCAAGGUUGAAACUCAAAGGAAUUGACGGGGGCCCGCACAAGCGGUGGAGCAUGUGGUUUAAUUCGAAGCAACGCGAAGAACCUUACCAGGUCUUGACAUCCCGAUGCCCGCUCUAGAGAUAGAGCUUUACUUCGGUACAUCGGUGACAGGUGGUGCAUGGUUGUCGUCAGCUCGUGUCGUGAGAUGUUGGGUUAAGUCCCGCAACGAGCGCAACCCUUAUUGUUAGUUGCCAUCAUUCAGUUGGGCACUCUAGCGAGACUGCCGGUAAUAAACCGGAGGAAGGUGGGGAUGACGUCAAAUCAUCAUGCCCCUUAUGACCUGGGCUACACACGUGCUACAAUGGCUGGUACAACGAGUCGCAAGCCGGUGACGGCAAGCUAAUCUCUGAAAGCCAGUCUCAGUUCGGAUUGUAGGCUGCAACUCGCCUACAUGAAGUCGGAAUCGCUAGUAAUCGCGGAUCAGCACGCCGCGGUGAAUACGUUCCCGGGCCUUGUACACA
rnacentral:rRNA from 1 species